rnacentral:rRNA from 1 species
UUGAACGCUGGCGGCAUGCUUUACACAUGCAAGUCGAACGGCAGCGCGGGCUUCGGCCUGGCGGCGAGUGGCGAACGGGUGAGUAAUGCAUCGGAACGUGCCCAGUAGUGGGGGAUAGCCCGGCGAAAGCCGGAUUAAUACCGCAUACGACCUGAGGGUGAAAGCGGGGGACCGAAAGGCCUCGCGCUAUUGGAGCGGCCGAUGUCGGAUUAGCUAGUUGGUGGGGUAAAGGCUUACCAAGGCGACGAUCCGUAGCUGGUCUGAGAGGACGACCAGCCACAAUGGGACUGAGACACGGCCCAGACUCCUACGGGAGGCAGCAGUGGGGAAUUUUGGACAAUGGGGGCAACCCUGAUCCAGCCAUGCCGCGUGCGGGAAGAAGGCCUUCGGGUUGUAAACCGCUUUUGUUCGGGAAGAAAUCCUCUGGGCUAAUACCCCGGGGGGAUGACGGUACCGGAAGAAUAAGCACCGGCUAACUACGUG